AUGAACGACACCCCAUGCAGUAGCGACAAUGACCACAUGGAAGAGAUUAAGAACAUCAGCAACAUCUUGCGGUGUUCCUCCUCAUCGUUGUUGUCACCACCGAAUAAUGACGACCAGCUCAUUAGACCGCUACUAGAGCAUUGGAGCCUUCUUGAGAAGGCAACACACCUGAGAUCGGGAGAGAGUGAGCGAGAGAGAGAGGGGGAGAGAUCAAGGGAGCGAGGGAAGGGGGAAUUGGGAGAGAGAUCUUGCACACAUUGGUAG
rnacentral:rRNA from 1 species